UACGAAGGGGGCUAGCGUUGUUCGGAAUCACUGGGCGUAAAGCGCACGCAGGCGGAUUGAUAAGUCAGGGGUGAAAUCCCGGGGCUCAACCUCGGAAUUGCCUUUGAUACUGUCUGUCUUGAGUUCGGGAGAGGUUGGCGGAAUUCCUAGUGUAGAGGUGAAAUUCGUAGAUAUUCGCAAGAACACCAGUGGCGAAGGCGGCUUACUGGUCCGGAUCUGACGCUGAGGCGCGAAAGCGUGGGGAGCAAACAGG
rnacentral:rRNA from 1 species